GACGAACGCUGGCGGCGUGCUUAACACGUGCAAGUCGAACGGAAAGGCCCUUCGGGGUACUCGAGUGGCGAACGGGUGAGUAACACGUGGGUGAUCUGCCCUGCACUUUGGGAUAAGCCUGGGAAACUGGGUCUAAUACCGAAUAGGACCACGCGCUUCAUGGUGUGUGGUGGAAAGCUUUUGCGGUGUGGGAUGGGCCCGCGGCCUAUCAGCUUGUUGGUGGGGUAAUGGCCUACCAAGGCGACGACGGGUAGCCGGCCUGAGAGGGUGACCGGCCACACUGGGACUGAGAUACGGCCCAGACUCCUACGGGAGGCAGCAGUGGGGAAUAUUGCACAAUGGGCGCAAGCCUGAUGCAGCGACGCCGCGUGAGGGAUGACGGCCUUCGGGUUGUAAACCUCUUUCAAUAGGGACGAAGCGCAAGUGACGGUACCUAUAGAAGAAGCACCGGCCAACUACGUG
rnacentral:rRNA from 1 species